UACGAGGGGGGCGAGCGUUGUUCGGAAUUAUUGGGCGUAAAGGGUGCGUAGGCGGUUUGGUAAGUCUUGUGUGAAAUCUCUGGGCUCAACUCAGAGUCUGCACGAGAAACUGCCGGGCUUGAGUGUGGGAGAGGUGAGUGGAAUUCCGGUGGAGCGGUGAAAUGCGUAGAGAUCGGAAAGAACACCAACGGCGAAAGCACUCUGCUGGGCCGACACUGACACUGAGAGACGAAAGCUAGGGGAGCGAAUGGG
rnacentral:rRNA from 1 species